rnacentral:rRNA from 1 species
UACGGAGGGAGCUAGCGUUAUUCGGAAUUACUGGGCGUAAAGCGCACGUAGGCGGCUUUGUAAGUAAGAGGUGAAAGCCCAGAGCUCAACUCUGGAAUUGCCUUUUAGACUGCAUCGCUUGAAUCAUGGAGAGGUCAGUGGAAUUCCGAGUGUAGAGGUGAAAUUCGUAGAUAUUCGGAAGAACACCAGUGGCGAAGGCGGCUGACUGGACUGGUAUUGACGCUGAGGUGCGAAAGCUGGGGAGCAAACAG